AACGAACGCUGGCGGCAUGCCUAACACAUGCAAGUCGAACGAUCCCUUCGGGGCUUGUGGCGCACGGGUGCGUAACGCGUGGGAACCUGCCCGUAGGUUAGGUAUAACUCAGAGAAAUUUGAGCUAAUAACGGGUAAUGUCUUCGGACCAAAGAUUUCUCGCCUUUGGAUGGGCCCGCGUUGGAUUAGCUAGCUGGUGGGGUAAAGGCCUAACAAGGCGACGAUCCAUAGCUGGUCUGAGAGGAUGAACAGCCACACUGGGAAUGAGACACGGCCCAGAAUCCUACGGGAGGGAGGAGUGGGGAAUAUUGCAAAAUGGGGGAAAACCCGAUGCAGCCAAGCCGCGGGGAGGAAGAAAGGCUUUGGGUUGUAAAAUCCUUUUUUCCCGGAAGAAAAAGAAGGUACCCGGGAAAAAAGGCCCGGCUAAAUACGUG
rnacentral:rRNA from 1 species